rnacentral:rRNA from 1 species
CCUACGGGGGGCAGCAGUGAGGAAUAUUGGUCAAUGGCCGUAAGGCUGAACCAGCCAAGCCGCGUGAAGGAAGAAGGAUCUAUGGUUUGUAAACUUCUUUUAUAGGGGAAUAAAGGUAUCCACGUGUGGAUAUUUGCAUGUAUCCUAUGAAUAAGCAUCGGCUAACUCCGUGCCAGCAGCCGCGGUAAUACGGAGGAUGCGAGCGUUAUCCGGAUUUAUUGGGUUUAAAGGGUGCGUAGGUUGUUUUUUAAGUCAGCGGUGAAAGUUUGUGGCUCAACCAUAAAAUUGCCGUUGAAACUGGAUGGCUGGAGUGUGUGUGAGGUAGGCGGAAUGCGUGGUGUAGCGGUGAAAUGCAUAGAUAUCACGCAGAACACCGAUUGCGAAGGCAGCUUACUAAGCCAUGACUGACGCUGAAGCACGAAAGCGUGGGGAGCAAACAGGAUUAGAUACCCGGGUAGUC